rnacentral:lncRNA from 12 species
AAGAGCUAGGGGUCCUGAGGGACUCAGAAGACCCUUGUAUUGCUGCACUGACCCUCAUGAACCUCUUCUGGCCUAGGGCCUCUGGAGCAGGUGCUGGCUGAGGCAGUCUGUGUGUGCCAGCCUGGGGGAGGGCAGGCAGAAAAGGUCAUGGCACAAAGGAUGCUCAGAGAACAGAAGACUGAAGGAUAAAACAGACAGACUGAAGGAUAAAACAGACAGA